rnacentral:rRNA from 1 species
GAUGAACGCUAGCUACAGGCUUAACACAUGCAAGUCGAGGGACCGGCGCACGGGCGAGUAACACGUAACCAACCUGCCCUCUAAUCGGGGAUAGCCGUUCGACAGAAAGAUUAAUACCCGAUAUAAAGGAUGGGGAUGCGGUCCAUUAGGUUGUUGGGUAGGUUACGGCCCACCAUGCCUUCGAUGGAUAGGGGUUCUGAGAGGAAUCUCCCCCACAUGGUGACAGAGACACGAUCCAAUCUCCUACGGGCGGCAGCAGUGAGGAUUAUUGGUCAAUGCGCGGUAGCCUGCACCCGCCAAGGAGCGUGAAGGUUCAAGGCUUCUGGGUCUUUAACUUCUUUUAGAUAAGAAUAUUUAUUAUAUGAAUAAGGAUCGGCUAACUCCGUGCCAGCAGCCGCGGUAAUUC